GGAAUGUUGGCUGGCUCGAGGCUUUGACAAAACAGGGUUCUUCUGCAACAAGAACUUCAAAAAGGCUUCGGACCAGGCUUCAUUCCCC
rnacentral:pre_miRNA from 1 species